rnacentral:rRNA from 1 species
UACGAAGGGGGCUAGCGUUGUUCGGAAUUACUGGGCGUAAAGCGCACGUAGGCGGAUUUGUAAGUCAGGGGUGAAAUCCCGGGGCUCAACCUCGGAACUGCCUUUGAUACUGCAAGUCUCGAGUCCGGAAGAGGUGAGUGGAAUUCCUAGUGUAGAGGUGAAAUUCGUAGAUAUUAGGAAGAACACCAGUGGCGAAGGCGGCUCACUGGUCCGGUACUGACGCUGAGGUGCGAAAGCGUGGGGAGCAAAC